UUUUUUUUUUUUUUUUUUGAGACGGAUUCUCACUCUGUCGCCAGGCUGGAGUGCAGUGGCGCCAUCUCGGCUCACUGCAAUCUCUGCCUCCCAGGUCCAAGCAAUUCUCCUGCCUCAGCCUCCCAAGUAGCUGGGACUAUAGGUGAGUGCCACCACGCCCAGCUAAUUUUUGUACUUUUAGUAGAGACGGGGUUUCACCAUGUUGGCCAGAAUGGUCUCAAUCUCUUGACCUCGUGAUCCGUCUGCCUCAGCCUCCCAAAGUGAUGGGAUUACAGGCGUGAGCCACCAUGCCCAGCCUAAUUUUUUUAUUUUUUAUUUUUGUGUAGAGACGGGAUCUCACUAUAUUGCCCAGGCUGGUCUCAAACUCCUGGACUCAAGUUAUCCUCCCACCUCAGCCUCCCAAAGUGCUGAGAUUACAGAUGUGAGUCACUGCAUAGACAGCCACUGGCCUCUUUAUAAGCACCAGAGUCACUUGUUUCUGGUGAAAGUUUUGCAUGUGGUAGGAGCUUCUAAGAGUUCUUUUUUCCUGCUUUUUCUUUUAAUAGGCCCAUCCCAGGAGGACACUUGUGCCUCCCAGCUUGCCAGCUCACUGCCCUGCCAUCAGAGAAGGUGUUGGGAGCAAUUUCAUGAUCAGCCGAAAAUGUGCCUUGAUGUGGAAGAGGACAGCCCAGUCCUGGAGCAGAAAUGACAAACAAGACAGCUUCCUGCUGAAGCCACGCACAGCGCAAGGAGUGCAGCUGAGGACUCACAGGGAUGGGAGGGAGAGAGAGGGAGGCAGGGCCCACAGAGCCCCGGGGAGGGAGCAGGGGCCACCCGUCGGCCUCUAGAGCCCAAGUCUAACAGUCCUCGUGGCUACAGGGCAGUCCAAACUCCCCAGCCCCAGCCUCAUUCAGCCUCGCUCACGGCAGGGAACAGUGAGUGAGGCCAAGGCCACCUGGAGCCGGUAGAACAAGCCUGGGGUCUCAUGCAGUGCUGCCCCUGCCGAGUGACCCGGAAGCGUCCCUUCUCCUCUCUGGGUUCUGGUCUCUGGUCAGGAAGGGAGUGAAGCCAGGCAAAUCUAAUUCAAACCCCCGCCAAGAAUCCAGGGCCUCACAGCCCAAGUGCUCUGGGGUCAGACAGCCGGUGAAAAGCUGUUUCCACUAAGAAACACCCAGGGUCCCCUCAUCCCGGCUCUCAGCUGUUCAAUGUCCACACCCCACUGUGGCACGAAGCUGGGCCCUUCCAUACUCGACCUCAACUCCCACCUUCUAGAAGACAAAUUGAGGCUGUGGCUUUCCCCAGCCACAGAUCUGGAAGGCAAGGGCCGCUCCACUGCCCCACGUGGCCCCGUUCUCAUCCCCCGUGACCCCAGUGAGCAGAACAGGCCUAGUCAGCCACAUGACCUGGCACCAAACAGAAGGUCCCCACAGGGCUCAGCUCUGCUCCUGCAAAUCCCAUCAUCAAAGAGGGAAAUAAUCCGGGAAGCCCCAGGACAGAGACAGACUUCUGAGAUGAAAAGUUCUCACUUGACCCCGAGACCUUCUCAGUGGCAGGAUGCUGACACGCAUGCCUGGGGCCAACAGAACACUGACACUGAAUCCAGAACUUUAAUUUCUUAAAGGUGGGUUCAAAGAGGUUAACAAAAGAAAAGAUGCAACACGUUCCGUCAGUGUCAGUGAGGAUGAAGAAAGGAGAAGUGGGUUCGGAAUGGAUCCACUGGCUGAGCAGCGUUUCCUAAGCAUCUACUAUGUGCGAGGCACUAUGGGAGUCCUGGGAAGGUCCCUACUCACAAGGAGUUCAUUCAUUCACCCGUUCAUUCAGUGAGUUAUUCUUUACUCUGUCAUCGCACAAAUGGGCCUGAAAACUGCGUCUCUUGGGCCAAGCUCUGCGCUGGACAAGAGAGGACGUGGUUAUGAAGGGAGCUCCCCUACCCCCGACACUGAAAAGGCAUCAUUACAGGCCAGCACAGUGGAACCUUUAACUCAGACAGGGAUAGAGGGCUGCGGCGGGGGGUGCACAGAAGGAAGCAGCCACCUCCCUCUUGUGGCCUCGUCAAUCUCAUCGCGGCGCCCCAAGCUCCCCUGAACCUCCCCCUCUGAGCCAAUAAGUGCCACAAGAAGGUCAGCAGUGCCCAGGAUGCCAUCAGCCCCCCAGUCCCCCAGGCCCUUGCAGAUGGAAAGAUUUCUUCCUCGUGGUCUUCCAGCCACUGCCCCCGCCCCAGCCUUCCAGGCUCUACCCAGUCUCCAAAGCAUGGACAUUCUCCCUGCUCAGUCAGAGCUCAGCCUCAGAGUGGAAAACGCUGCCUUGGGGGUGAUGGCUGGAGGUGGGCACACCAAAGGGGUUCACUAAUGAGCCACCUGUGAACCCAUCACUGGCCGGGCUGCUGCAGGCAGGAUCCAUGCACAAGCUGCCUGGUGGGCCUCUGGGGAAGUCUGUGGACUCAUCUUUCCAGGGCAUCUGGAAUGAAGGCCUCUGUCUCCCUGGGGUUAGUGCAGAGAGGCUAAGGCACCUGUAACAACCUAACAACCACUCCCCAUCCCACACCCACUGGCCUGCCUUGAGCACCCAAGCUCUUCCAUUUGCAGUGGCCAAAGGCAUUUUCACCACCCAGUAGCCUUGGGGUAGGGGAUAGGGAGGCAGGCAGGGGAACUCAGAACUUUGCUCUCCCAGCCCUAUCAUUCACCCCACAGUGCUCAGGGAGGCGGGUGGGGCAACUCACCAACACCCUCUCCGCCCCACAUUGCUCCACCAGCUUCCUGCCAAUGCUCAGCAUCUGCUCAUCCCAGGGGCAGUCCCUGGACACCUCCCGGGGGCCAGGCCAGUGCUAGGCAUCUGGGAGCCUAACAAGAGUCUAGAACCUUCUCCCUCACCAAUGACGUCCCUUUUCCCCCACACCCAGGCAGAGCGAGAGCUCGAGCCCAAGGGGUAAAAAGAAUGUUCUAGACAAAAUCAAGCACCAGCGUCUUCCUUCCGUCCUCGGGUCUCUGAAGGCUGUCAUAAAGGGCUGCCUGCAUUCCUCAUUCAAAAAUAUUCAAAACCUAAAGAAACUCAUAAACGUACCCACAAUAAGGCCACAUGGGCAAAGCAAAACACAGACAUGUAACUUGGGGCCUAAAUUCAGCCCACUUCAUGUGACAACACCAUGACAGUCUAUCCCCUGGUCCUUGGAUGGAGGUGUACCUGGGACAGGACAGGUGGACCAUGUCCCAGAUCACCUGUGGGCAGGUGUUCAGGGGAUGCCCCUCCAGUUACAUUACUUUGAAAGGGAGCAUAAAGUGGUCCUUACUGAAUGGAAACAGCUCUUUCACAACAGUAGGAAGAGGGAAUUAAAUUAAAACAGGCCCUUGAAGGAACCGAGGGCCCUCCUGGGCUGUCAAGAGAGAAUUCUACAGCUGGUAGUCAUGAUGGCUCCAUCCUAUCUGGCCAUUUCUUCAUGGAGUUGUGGCCACAGGGUCUCAGACCCUGAAAAUGAGCACCCAGGGACAGUCCCUAACUGAGACGGCACAGGCCAGCAGGGCCAGUGGAGGAUUUGCAUUCACUCUGGUGCUCCACAUGUUUGAUAGUUUGGGAAAAUUCACGGACUCUCCUAAAGCCUGCAUCUCCCACUUCUACAAUGACUGGUUAAAUGCAGCCAAAGACCAGGCACCAACUACACCAGCAUGCCAGGAAAGGGGAGGACCGAUGUGAGGACCUCCUGUGUCACGCUGUCCGGGGUGCUCUGUGAAACUUUGUGAUGCCUGAGACGAGCUCCCUUUUCCAGAAGAAGAAAAAAAGGGCCCAAAAUUUGACAGGACACUUGAAGCAUCCGCCUCCCCCACCCCCCAGCUUUGUGGAAUGAGGUCAGGAAUAUGUAAAUAAACAAACAGAGUACGUGGUAAGGAGCAGAAUUCCCAGAAAGUUCUAUUCCCACAUUUUACCUCCAAAAUUAAAAGAAAAUAGCAGCACACAUACCAGUUCCCAGGAGCGGUAUGGUUCUCAACCACGGUGGACCAAGUCCAGACAGUCAGAAAACCACUCCCACCAAGGUCUUCCUGCAAAGAUCUCUCCUUGCAGAAUCAAGUUGUUGAAGGAAGGUUAGCUCCAAAGAGGCAGCCCUUUGUAGCCGGGGGUUGGGAGGGGAGUCUUGUGGGAAGGGAGCCUGAAGGACCCCCGAUACCCUCAACAGAGGACAGAGGCUUUGGGGAGGGAACACCUGAGCCAGCGAGGUUCAUCCGAUGGAGGCCAGGGUCAGAGGCCUCCUGGACCAGACUCUCUCUCCAGGAGCAGAGGAAGAGGGUGGUCCAGGGACACAGAACAAGAUCUCAGCCUCCAACAGGGUCAAGAUGGGAAGACGUCACAGUCAUCCAUCAGGGUAAUACUAUCUCUUAUCUCUGGGAGCCACAAACUAUAGGCCAUGGAUGUCUGCCUGUUUCUGUAAAUAAAGUUUUAUUGAAACAACAGCCACAAUCUGUUCAUUAAUUGUCCACAGGUACUCUUGCGCUACAGUGGCAAAGUUGAAUGCAGUGGCUCCCUGCUACCCAUGAUUUCACUUUCUGGGGUUUCCGCUACCCAAGGUCAACCAUGGUCCAAAAAUAUUAAGUGGAAAAUUCCAGAAAUAAACAAUUCGUCAGUUUUAAAUUUUGAGCCACUCCAAGUAGUGUGAUGAGAUCUUGCACCGUCCCACUCUGUCUUGCCCAAGACCUGAAUCUUCCCUUUGUCCGGCAUAUCCAUGCUCUAAGACACCACCUGCCCCUUAGCCACUAGUAGCCUUCUUGGGCAUCAGAUCAACUAUGGUAGUAUUGCAAGGCUUGUGUUCAAGUCACUCUUAUUUUACCUAAUAAUGGCCCCAAAGCGCAAAGGCAAUGAUGCUGGCAUAUUGUUACAACUGUUCUAUUUCAUUAUUAAUUAUUGUUGUUAAUCUCUUACUGUGCUUAAUUUAUAAAUUAAACUGUAUCAUAGGUAUAUAUGUAUAGGAAAAAGAACACAGUACAAUAGGGUUUACUACUACCCGAGGUUUCCAGCAUCCACUUGGUGUCUCGGAACACAUCCCCAGAAGGAUUAGGAGGAGACUACUAUUGUUGCAAGAGAGACCACUUGGCCCACAGAGUCUAAAGUACUUCAUUAUCUGGUGAUUUAUCAUAGAUAAAAGCCCGAUCUUAUCUGAAAAACCAUAGGAUUAAGCCCUCCAGGCUUGCAGUUGAUCCAAAACUCUCUAUGCUGAACUAUUACUUACUUUCAUAAGUGAAUCAGAAAUCACAAUGUUUCCAUUUUUGCCAAGGCUGCCAGGAAGCUCAGAGGUAAAUUCUAAGUUUUUAUGCAAUGCAAGUUACUAGGACUACCUUUUCUGUCCCUUGAUUGUAUGAUUCUCAUUCUUUCACCAUCAUUUUAAUGCUUAUAUUACUGGUUCACUUAAAGCAAAAGACUUCAAAUUCCUUUUAUUAUGACAUAAAUAAAAAAGAAAGAAAAAACACAAGAGGACCCAAUAGCUGCUCCAGCUCAGGGGACCCCCUGCACCUUGAUGAGCCUUUGCAGACCUAACUCUCACAAUUCACCUGGCCAAGAGCGCCUCAUCCCUUCCUUUCCAAUCUAAAGUCCCUCUAGCUGAGACCUUGGAACCAGAAAAUCCCCCACGAAGCUGGGGGAGCUUUGGGCACUCACGUCAGUCACUUCCAGUGCCCCUCCUGUUUCUGGUGGGCAAGAAGGUUCCAAAAACACCCCCUAUUCACUCAGACCCUCACUGACCUCCUGUGCACCCUGGGUGCUGCGAGCCAGAGCUAGAGGCAUCAGGCACAAUCCGUGCCCUGGAGGCCUUCACAUUCCACACAAAGAGGAUGUGACAUCAUCAGCCAGCCCAGAGGCAGGUGCAAGUGCUGCCUGGGGGAGCUUUUCCCGGAGAGUAAACAGGAGCUCCCUCGGCUGCCUGGGGACGCCAAGGGCUUGCUGGGCAGAGUCCGGCCAGGCCAAAGGGCAGAGGCACCCAGGAGCCCAGUGGAGCAAGGGGCCCAAUGGAGUACAGCUCAGCUGCCAACAAUAGCAGCCCUGAGGGACAGGGCUCUGGCAGAUCUUGUCCCCAGAUUAACCUGGAACUGAGCUCCCACCAGCUGGGUGGCCCUGGGCAAGUAAGAAGCUCCUGAGUCUCCAUCUCCCCACACCAGCAGAGCAGCAUUACUGGGAGGACUGGAGAGAGCAGGUGCACCAUGCCCAGCACACAGCGAGUGCUUUGUAAAUGAAGGCUACCCCAGGAGGCCUGGCUGGGUGGUGGUGGUCAUGGGCAACACAGGGAGAUGAGUCCAGUAAGUCCCAGGGGCCAUGCAUGUCGCAAUGAGGAGUCUACUUUCCCACGGGGGUGUCUGAGAGCCC
rnacentral:lncRNA from 1 species